rnacentral:misc_RNA from 1 species
GUGAAUCAUCAAAUUUUUGAACGCAAAUUGCACUCUCCGGUUUUCCGGGAGAGUAUGCCUGUUUGCGGGUCAGACUAAAUAAAAUCGACAUAGUUGCUGUUUUCGCGGUGACAUUCGUCGGAAAUUGGAUCAUCUUAUACCUUUGGGUUUUAAGCGGCUUAAAAUUUUCUUUAUGAUUCCACGGAAGUUUCUAAGAUAUUUACUUCUUACACGUUUACGGUAUCGAUCUUUAUUAGACGUGUCCGUUGCAUCGGAUCACGUCCCU